rnacentral:rRNA from 1 species
UACGUAGGGGGCAAGCGUUGUCCGGAUUUAUUGGGCGUAAAGAGCGUGUAGGCGGUUUGGUAGGUCCGCUGUGAAAACUCGAGGCUCAACCUCGAGACGCCGGUGGAAACCAUCAGGCUAGAGUCCGGAAGAGGAGAGUGGAAUCCCUGGUGUAGCGGUGAAAUGCGCAGAUAUCAGGAAGAACACCUAUGGCGAAAGCAGCUCUCUGGGACGGUACUGACGCUGAGACGCGAAAGCGUGGGGAGCGAACAGG